UCCAGGCUGUACUUUAUUUUACACAAGUGGUGGCCCCAGAACCACAGGGACAUGACCUGGAGAGUAGGCACAGUGCCUGAGGCUGCAAGAGCCAAAUACAGGGAUUCAUGCCUUCUCCUUGGUCCCCAUGACCAAAUUAAAAAAAAAAAAAAACAACAAAUCACACAGCACACAUCGCCACACCCAUCCCCUCCUUCCUUUCAGCAACAGCCAAUUCAGCUUUCUAGCCAAAGACAGUGGCUACAACUGAAUUUACAGAGAACCAUGCAGCCAAGAAACCAGAGCCACGGAGGGGAGAGGCUUGCGUUGACUUCCCACAUGUGCUGUCCCAUAGCAGCUGAGUGACCCCACCAAGCCACCGUGUGGUUGGACACUGACAGGACAGGCGAUAAGACAAGCUAUGCAGGUGAAACUCCAAGGCAACUCCUUCAUGGUGUUGGCCAAACCCGUGCAAGGGUGACCUGUGGGGAGCCUGUCUGGACUCAGCUGUUAGAUCCAAAGCAGGAGCCAGGCGUGAGGUU
ensembl:antisense Gm12744 predicted gene 12744